UACGGUAGGGUCCGAGCGUUGUCCGGAAUACUGGGCGUAAAGCGCGCGCAGGUGGUUUCUUAAGUCUGAUGUGAAAGCCCCCGGCUCAACUGGGGAGGGUCACGCGAUACUGAUCGACUCGGAAGGCAGGAGAGGGUAGUGGAAUUCCCGGUGUAGUGGUGAAAUGCGUAGAUAUCGGGAGGAACACCAGUGGCGAAGGCGACUACCUGGCCUGUUCUUGACGCUGAGGCGCGAAAGCUAGGGGAGCAAACGGG
rnacentral:rRNA from 1 species